rnacentral:rRNA from 1 species
GGGGUUAUAGGACUGCAUUUAGGAUGAUUUUUAAACAUGAAUCACUUGGGAAAGUGAGCCGUAGAGCGUGAGAGCCGCGUAAUGGUAAAUGAAAUCAAACGAGCAGUAUCCUGAGUAGGUGGGGGCCGGUGAAACCCCCUCUGAAUUCAGCUGCACCAUCAGCUAAGGCUAAAUACUCCUGAGACACCGAUAGCGAACUAGUACUGUGAAGGAAAGAUGAAAAGCACGGGGAAUACCCGGGUGAAAUAGAACCUGAAACCGUACGCUUACAAGCGGUCGGAGCUUCUUUAUGAAGUGACGGCGUGCCUUUUGCAUAAUGAUCCUACGAGUUAUGGUAU